rnacentral:rRNA from 1 species
UACGGAGGAUGCUAGCGUUAUCCGGAUUUAUUGGGUUUAAAGGGUGCGUAGGCGGCUUUUUAAGUCAGCGGUGAAAUUUUGCAGCUUAACUGUAACAGUGCCGUUGAUACUGGGGAGCUAGGAUUUGGUUGCUGUGGGUGGAAUGUGUGGUGUAGCGGUGAAAUGCUUAGAGAUCACACAGAAUAUCGAUUGCGAAGGCAGCUCACAAAGCCAAGAUUGACGCUGAGGCACGAAAGUGUGUGGAUCAAACAGGA